UCCUACGGGAGGCAGCAGUGGGGAAUCUUCCGCAAUGGGCGAAAGCCUGACGGAGCAACGCCGCGUGAAUGAUGAAGGCCUUCGGGUCGUAAAGUUCUGUCUUAUGGGACGAAGGUCCCCUGUGUGAAUAAUGCAGGGGGAUGACGGUACCAUAGGAGGAAGCCCCGGCUAACUACGUGCCAGCAGCCGCGGUAAUACGUAGGGGGCAAGCGUUGUCCGGAAUUACUGGGCGUAAAGGGCGUGUAGGUGGGAGAUUAAGUCAUGGGUGUAAACUGCGGGCUCAACCCGGAGAUUGCCUAUGAAACUGGUCUUCUUGAGGGCAGGAGAGGAAAGUGGAAUUCCUAGUGUAGCGGUGAAAUGCGUAGAUAUUAGGAGGAACACCAGUGGCGAAGGCGACUUUCUGGACUGACCCUGACACUGAGGCGCGAAAGCUAGGGGAGCGAACGGGAUUAGAUACCCGUGUAGUCCG
rnacentral:rRNA from 1 species